AGCGAACGCUGGCGGCAGGCCUAACACAUGCAAGUCGAACGAACUCUUCGGAGUUAGUGGCGGACGGGGGAGUAACACGUGGGAACGUGCCUUUUGGUUCGGAAUAACUCAGGGAAACUUGUGCUAAUACCGAAUGUGCCCUUCGGGGGAAAGAUUUAUCGCCAUUAGAGCGGCCCGCGUCUGAUUAGCUGGUUGGUGAGGUAACGGCUCACCAAGGCGACGAUCAGUAGCUGGUCUGAGAGGAUGACCAGCCACACUGGGAAUGAGACACGGCCCAGAAUCGUACGGGAGGGAGGAGUGGGGAGUCUUGCGCGAUGGGCGAAAGCCUGACGCAGCCAUGCCGCGUGAAUGAUGAAGGUCGUAGGAUUGUAAAAUUCUUUCACCGGGGACGAUAGUGACGGUACCCGGAGAAGAAGCCCCGGCUAACUUCGUG
rnacentral:rRNA from 1 species